rnacentral:rRNA from 1 species
AUUGAACGCUGGCGGCAGGCCUAACGCAUGCAAGUCGAGCGGAUGAAGGGAGCUUGCUCCUGGAUUCAGCGGCGGGCGGGGGAGUAAUGCCUAGGAAUCUGCCUGGCAGGGGGGGAUAACGUCCGGAAACGGGCGCUAAUACCGCAGACGUCCUGAGGGAGAAAGUGGGGGAUCUUCGGACCUCACGCUAUCAGAGGAGCCUAGGCCGGAUUAGCUAGUUGGUGGGGUAAAGGCCUACCAAGGCGACGAUCCGUAACUGGUCUGAGAGGAUGAUCAGUCACACUGGAACUGAGACACGGUCCAGACUCCUACGGGAGGCAGCAGUGGGGAAUAUUGGACAAUGGGCGAAAGCCUGAUCCAGCCAUGCCGCGUGUGUGAAGAAGGUCUUCGGAUUGUAAAGAACUUUAAGUUGGGAGGAAGGGCAGUAAGUUAAUACCUUGCUGUUUUGACGGUACCAACAGAAUAAGCACCGGCUAACUUCGUG